rnacentral:rRNA from 1 species
GGAUAACACUUAGAAAUAGGUGCUAAUACCGCAUAAGCGCACAGCUUCGCAUGAAGCAGUGUGAAAAACUCCGGUGGUAUACGAUGGAUCCGCGUCUGAUUAGCUAGUUGGCGGGGUAAAGGCCCACCAAGGCGACGAUCAGUAGCCGGCCUGAGAGGGUGAACGGCCACAUUGGGACUGAGACACGGCCCAAACUCCUACGGGAGGCAGCAGUGGGGAAUAUUGCACAAUGGGGGAAACCCUGAUGCAGCGACGCCGCGUGAGUGAAGAAGUAUUUCGGUACGUAAAGCUCUAUCAGCAGGGAAGAAAAUGACGGUACCUGACUAAGAAGCCCCGGCUAACUACGUGCCAGCAGCCGCGGUAAUACGUAGGGGGCAAGCGUUAUCCGGAUUUACUGGGUGUAAAGGGAGCGUAGACGGCAGCGCAAGUCUGGAGUGAAAUCCCAUGGCUUAACCAUGGAACUGCUUUGGAAACUGUGCAGCUAGAGUGCAGGAGAGGUAAGCGGAAUUCCUAGUGUAGCGGUGAAAUGCGUAGAUAUUAGGAGGAACACCAGUGGCGAAGGCGGCUUACUGGACUGUAACUGACGUUGAGGCUCGAAAGCGUGGGGAGCAAACAGGAUUAGAUACCCUGGUAGUCCACGCUGUAAACG